AACGAACGCUGGCGGCAUGCCUAACACAUGCAAGUCGAACGAGACCUUCGGGUCUAGUGGCGCACGGGUGCGUAACGCGUGGGAACCUGCCUUUAGGUUCGGAAUAACUCAGAGAAAUUUGAGCUAAUACCGGAUGAUGUCUUCGGACCAAAGAUUUAUCGCCUUUAGAUGGGCCCGCGUUGGAUUAGCUAGUUGGUGGGGUAAAGGCCUACCAAGGCGACGAUCCAUAGCUGGUCUGAGAGGAUGAUCAGCCACACUGGGACUGAGACACGGCCCAGACUCCUACGGGAGGCAGCAGUGGGGAAUAUUGGACAAUGGGCGAAAGCCUGAUCCAGCAAUGCCGCGUGAGUGACGAAGGCCUUAGGGUUGUAAAGCUCUUUUACCCGAGAUGAUAAUGACAGUAUCGGGAGAAUAAGCUCCGGCUAACUCCGUG
rnacentral:rRNA from 1 species